ACGCCGCGUGAGUGAAGAAGGGUUUCGGCUCGUAAAACUCUGUUGUUAAAGAAGAACAUAUCUGAGAGUAACUGUUCAGGUAUUGACGGUAUUUAACCAGAAAGCCACGGCUAACUACGUGCCAGCAGCCGCGGUAAUACGUAGGUGGCAAGCGUUGUCCGGAUUUAUUGGGCGUAAAGCGAGCGCAGGCGGUUUUUUAAGUCUGAUGUGAAAGCCUUCGGCUUAACCGAAGAAGUGCAUCGGAAACUGGGAAACUUGAGUGCAGAAGAGGACAGUGGAACUCCAUGUGUAGCGGUGAAAUGCGUAGAUAUAUGGAAGAACACCAGUGGCGAAGGCGGCUGUCUGGUCUGUAACUGACGCUGAGGCUCGAAAGUAUGGGUAGCAAACAGGAUUAGAUACCCUGGUAGUCCAUACCGUAAACGAUGAAUGCUAAGUGUUGGAGGGUUUCCGCCCUUCAGUGCUGCAGCUACGCAUUAAGCAUUCCGCCUGGGGAGU
rnacentral:rRNA from 2 species